CCUACGGGGGGCAGCAGUGAGGAAUAUUGGUCAAUGGGCUUACGCCUGAACCAGCCAAGUCGCGUGAGGGAAGACUGCCCUAUGGGUUGUAAACCUCUUUUGUCAGGGAGCAAUUGGCGCUACGUGUAGCGUUAUCGAGAGUACCUGAAGAAAAAGCAUCGGCAAACUCCGUGCCAGCAGCCGCGGUAAUACGGAGAAUGCGUGCGUUAUCCGGAUUUUUUGGGUUUAAAGGAUGCGAAUGCGGAAUGCCAAGUCAGCGGUAAAAUCGUGGGGCUCAACCUCGCUCCGACGUUGAAACUGGCGUUCUUGAGUGGGAUAGAAGUAUGCGGAAUGCGUGGUGUAGCGGUGAAAUGCAUAGAUAUCACGCAGAACUCCGAUUGCGAAGGCAGCAUACCGGCGCCCAACUGACGCUGAAGCACGAAAGCGUGGGUAUCGAACAGGAUUAGAUACCCGGGUAGUC
rnacentral:rRNA from 1 species